AUGGUCUUCGGCAAUGGUCGUCGCACACGGUUCGUAGACGUUCGGGUCUUCCGUAGAGGUGACUGGGGCGCCGCGGCGUGGUUCCGUGAAGCAGAGGCAACGGCGGCUUGCUGGAGGAUCCUGGCGGCCGGAGGUGACCGGGACGGUCGCUGGGCUUGGGGAGGCGCCGGACUAAAUGGACCUCGCGAUGAAGACCCCGGGGAAGCAGGGAACGAGGCGAUGACGGCGGUGCUCCACUCCUCCCAGUGCUCCUUCGGCGAGGAGAGUUGGCAGCGGGGACGUGGGCGCAGGGCAACGCGCUUUAGGGCCAGCACGGUGGCCUCCAUGGCCGGCGGCCGUGCGGUCCGAAGGAGCUGCAGGCGCGGGCUCCAGGCCAAGGCGACGGCAAGGCGGGUCGAGGGCGGCGGCGCUGGAGAGAAGCGAUGA
rnacentral:rRNA from 1 species